rnacentral:lncRNA from 1 species
CUCUGGGGUAGAUACAAGGUAAUCAGGUUAGCUCACGUGGGGUUCACAGUCUUAAUCCCCAUUUUACAGUUGAGGGAACGGAGGCACAGAGAAGUUAAGUGACUUGCCUAAAGUCACACAGCAGACAAGUGGCAGAGCACAAUCUGACCACAGAAGCCCAGAGUGAGUUCGCCCUAGGAGUGGGAAUGGUUUAUUCAGAAGAUCACAGCUGUUUUGUGUUUGUUUUUUUUUAAAAAAAAAGGUAGUGGAACUCAGAAGUAACAGAGAAAGAUACUUUGUCCUGGGAUCAGUGUCAUCAGUCUUAGUUACCAAGACAACCACCUGCUGGGUUAUGACAUUCUGCUGCAGUCACCAUGACCGUCAGCGGGUCCUGCAUGAGGGUGGAAAAAAAAAUACAUCUGUGAGCACUUUGCAAUAUGCUGCACCUCUGGCUGCCUGAUUAGUUGUUGCUCUCUGUCCCCCAGCUACAAAACAAGUGGCAGGGGCGAGAGUGUGUGAGGGGUGCUGUGCAAACCACUCUCACUACAAUCAAUUACUCUGUGUAUGUUUUCAGUUUCCAAGUCUCCUGACCGAAGCCCAUACCUCAUUCCCGAUGGCAGAGUCACGAGACAUCAUCCUUUCCUUCACUGAUAGAAAGUCCUCAAGGAGCUCAAGCCUGAGGGAGAAAAGCACCUAAACCAGGAAGGAGAUGUGAAGUCAUGAGACUGGCUGACUCGUAGAGGAUAAGGGUCUCCUGGCCUGAACCACCACAGAACCAGGUUCUCAGGGCACAAAUGAAGGACUGCAGACCAGGACCGUGACAGACUGGAGCAGAAACUGGUGAGACGGGACUUUAAACCUGCAUCACCUGGCCUUGGAAUCUCAUAUUGAGGUGCACCAUUCAGAGCAAGGGAACCGGUCGGAGAGGAACGACCCGCUGCUCCCUUGCAUGGGAAAAACUGUCAUCUUGGACCAAUUUCCUGACAUCGGCUUCACCAGCAUCGCCGCUGGAGUGGGAGAAGAGACGACAUUUCAUCCUAAGAGAUUGGGCUGCAAGAGAGAGCCUUGGGCUCCAUUUACAAAGUGAGGGAAGAGUUUUUGGCCAACUACGUCCAAACCUAUUUUCCUCACCUGUACGAAUGCCUCAGGGCUCGUUCCCUGCCGAGUUCUUCGUUCCCCGUCCUGUGCUUGUGUCAUCAUUGCUCUUCAGAUUUCUAAUUAAACAUAAGAAUAAGAAUAAUGGUAGCUGUUAAGCGUUUACU